GUGGAACGCUUGGGGCAGGACAUCCACAGUCGGUCGGCAACCCCACGGCCUUCGGUGGCAAGGGGUGCGGAAGGUGAGACAUUGUCAUUGCAGCAGUCAGUGAAGCUUUUAGAUGGCAUCAAGCAGCUAAUUGAUUCUUGGGGUGUAGGAAAAAGGAGGGACGGGGAUUGCAGUUAGGUUUGGGCUCAGCCGGGGGAGGUCACAGGGUCGAGUCCAGUGGUGGUUUCGGGGGCCAGGGGUAGCACGGUUUGGGACGGGAGUAUGACCCCCGUGGUGGAGGCGCUCAGAUUGGCGAGCGAGAGGGACAAUUUACUUGGGGGUGUCCCAGAGGCCACGCGGCAGAAUGUACAUGUUUCUUUUUCGCGGGCCCGUUGGGCUGUCAUCUAAAACUUGAGGUGAAGGAGAGGAUCUGGAAAGGAGAGUUCAUGGAGCUCUUUUCGUUUCUCCCCCUUGAGGACUACAUUGACCUCAAGGAGGAGGAUAAAAAGGAUGCUAAAAAAGAGGAGGAGGAGAAGAAACGGCGGUAUAGGAAGAUCCCUAAGACGUUUGGGAAUUGGUUGAGGGCAUUCUGCAUCUUGGCCAGCGUGAUGGGCGAAAAGGCGGCGGAGCGCUGUUCACAGUUCUUUUGUUACCUGGAUGGUAUUUGUGAAGUAUAUCGCACGUACAGGGUCUGGCAUGGUGGUGAUAUGAUGAGCGGUUUCGUCAGCACCUGGAUGCUAAUCCAGGGAUGCGGUGGGACCAGAUUGACCUACCACUCUGGAUAAAACUUAUGAUGGGGCAGAAGGCGUCUCCCUUUCAGCCGGGGGCCGGCACGAGCGCUUCCACCGCCGUGUCGGCCAACCAAAAAUGGGGCUAUUGUUGGCUAUAUAACAAGGGACAGUGCAAGUGGGGGGCCACAUGUCGCUUUGAGCAUGAAUGCUCCGGGUGUGGAGGCACCCACGGAGUCCACAGGUGCUUUAAAAAAGGUAAAGCAGCUACCGCGGCGGGGGUGCCUGGAGGAUCGGCCGCGUCCCCUGCAACUGGGGGAAACGCCAGUGAGGGUCAGUGCGAUGCUACCGUGGCUAAGCCGCUAUGCUAACCGGGAAGAUGUUGUUGCUCGAGGAGGGGUUUACAAAAGGGUUCGUGAUCCCGUUUCGGGAACGGGUGGUGACUCAUCGGCAACUUGAAGUCGGCUGGGGAAUUUCCGGGGGUGGUUAGGGAGAAGUUGCUUAAGGAGGUCCAGUUGGGCAGGGUGGCGGGACCGUUCAGGGAGCCCCCUCUACCUAACUUGAGGGUAUCACCACUGGGGGUGGUACCCAAGAAGGAGCUGGGUAAGUACCGCCUGAUACAUCACCUGUCCUACCCCAAGGGGUCGUUGGUUAACAACGACAUUGACAAGGCCCUUUGUUCGGUGUCGUACGCUUCGUUCGACCAGGCGGUGAAUCUGGUGCAAGGAGCGGGCCAUGGGGCAUUGUUGGCAAAGGCGGACGUGGAGGCGGCUUUUUGCCUUUUGACAAUUCACCCGAAGUGCCAUCACUUGCUGGGAUGUUACUUCGAUGGUGAGUAUUACGUGGAUCUAUGUUUGCCCAUGGGGUGCUCUAUAUCGUGCGCGUACUUCGAAAAAUUUUGCACAUUUCUGGAAUGGGUGGUGAAACUGGAAGCGGGCACUAAGAUGGUGGUUCAUUACCUGCAUGAUUUCCUAUGUGUCGGGCCUCCUGGAUCGGAGGAAUGCCGCAUGGGACUGAGGAUAUUGGAAUGGGUGGCACACGUUAUUGGAGUCCCCUUGGCGAGUGACAAAAUGGUGGGGCCUACAACAUGCUUGAGUUUCUUGGGCUUGGAGAUUGAUUAGAUCAAAGGGGAGUGUAGGCUGCCACAGGACAAGUUGCUGGCACUCUGGAAGGCAGUGGCGAGGUGCGGGAAGCUAAGAAGGUCACGCUCCGGGCACUUCAGUCACUGCUGGGUCGGCUAAACUUCGCCUGUCAGGUGAUUCCGGUCGUGAGGGUCUUUAACAGGUUUCUAGCUAGGGCGACAGGGGGGUGCUGUUCCCGCACCACCUUAUUCGGGUCUCAGGGGCUAUGAAGGCUGAUCCGGACGUCUGGGGGGAAUUCUUACAAGAUUUUAAUGUGAAGGUGUUCUUUCGGGAGCCGGUGGAGUCUUCCCCGGAGCUGGAGCUGUUCACAGAUGCGUCGGGGAGUGCCGGUUUCGGGACUUACUUCUGAGGUCAAAGGUGCACGGUAACUUGGCCAGAGACAUGGAAGGCCAGCCCGCUGAUACAUAACGUGGCAUUCCUGGAGUUGUUCCCGUUAGUCGUAGCACUGUCACUAUGGGGUCCACAGUUGAGGGAUAAGAAGGUUGUAUUCUUUUCGGACAAUAUGGCAGUGGUAGAUGCAGUGAAUGGUCUUUCAGCGUCCUCUAUCCCGGUGGUGCGGCUUCCUCGCCGUUUUGUCUUGUUCUGUAUGCGUUUUAAUAUUGUUUUUCGCGCACGUCACGUGCCUGGACUGUUGAAUGUUAUUUCUGAUGCGUUAUCUCAUUCGCAGUGGGAGAGGUUCCGGCAGGUGGCAUCUGGCGCGCGGGUGGAAGGGAUGUCUUGCCCGGACGAGAUAUGGAGGCUCGGGACAUCAUGCUUGGCGGACUGAUCAGGGACUCCCUGGCACCUGCUACCUGGACGGCAUACAGUAAGGUGUGGGGGGAAUGGGACGAGCUGGUGCAGCAUAUGGGGGGUCAGCUCUCAAAGGAGGCCCGGUUGGACGCAAUGUUGUGGCUCUUGUGUAGGUCGUUCACCUCAGGGGCCUCAGCAGCGGUAGUAGGGCAUAAGCUGGCAGCGUUAGCCUUUUUGUUCAAGUUUAAUGGGUGGGAGGAAGUCACAAAACAUUUUCUUGUUAGGCAGGCACUGAAAGGUUUCAAGCGGGGUAAGGUGUCAGUGGAUUCCAGGAGGCCGGUGUCGUUCGAGUUGCUUCAGCGGGUGGUCCAGGUGCUGCCCGAGGUGUAUUUUUCGGGAUACGAAGUUACACUGUUCUCCGUGAUUUUUAACCAAAACAUAAAGUGGAAAACACCUAAAAUACGUUGAAAUGUAUAUAAACAAAUUAAACAACCUGAAAUCAUGUAUAUAUCCGUGAAGAGAAUCUGUGUAAAGAAUUAGAAAGCUAACAUAGCAUAAUACAGUAUUGGAUAAAGUGAGUGAUAAAUGUGAUAAUAAGUGCACUCACAAACAAACGUAAAAUCAGGCUUCUCACCCUCUCAGGGAUAAUAUGAUGUAUAAUGAGUAUGAACUUGCAGUAUCCUCCGAUGGAAUAUAUGUAAAUAAAGGAAAUCAAAUAUAGUGAAGUUUGUUAUAAAAAUACAAAAUCACAUUUAUUGGUCGCACUUACACAUAAGAAAAUUAGGAAGAGCGUAUCUCCAUACAACAUGGAACUCCUAUACAACGUGGUGGCAGGUCCAGGAGUGAAUCCAAGAACAAAUGAAUGGAACCACCAAAUACAGGUAAAUACAAAAUAAAUUAAUAACAUAAAUUAAAAGUCCAUAAGAAAGAAAUCCAACGCGUUUCGUCCAGUGAGAUAUAGGGAUAUUUCUGUCUUCAUCCUUGUGGGUAUAUAUAAUGCGGGUAAUUGAAAUUAAUUUGGAACAUCCAGUGUUCAGCGUGCAUUCCAUUCUUGGAAUGCAAAAGGGCGCAGACCGUCUAUGUUGGUUCCGUAAUAUAAAACGCAUGCGCACGGCAAGCGCACAUGCGUGUACGAAAAGACCAAAACCUAGAGGGGACAAAAAACAUAAGGCAAAAAAAUUCACCCUUGCAUCUGAUAUACAAAUAUAAAAACCAAGUAUGAUUGCAACAUAAGGAUUCAUAUAUUACAUAAAAUGGAAUGAAAAAGUUAUAAAUCAUCACAUUAUAUAAAAGGAGUGUCCAAUAUAUAAACAACUACUCAGUAGAGCUGUAGAUGAUAUAUAUGGACCCUAAAAAUUAAUAAUAAUAGUAAAUACUAAUGAUGAUGAGUUGGAUUUUGUAAAUAUGAAUCACAUUCUGGUGCAUCACACAAAGUGAUAUGUACAACUAUAUGAGAAAAAAUGACUAAUGAUGUAAUAUGCAUAAUUAUAAAGAAAAAAUAUAAAAAUAUAAAAAAUUAAUUAUUAAUAUAAUAUCCAUAGUGAUACAGAAAUGGAGGAAAGAAUGAGUCUAGUUAGAACACUAACCAACAAUAGGGCUAUUAAAUAAGACAUUGAAGGUCAAUUUCUUGAUUAAGUCCCUGAUGUAAAGUUUUAAGAUUAAAAAUCCACAAAGCUUCCUUUCUGAUCAAUUCUUGUGCCCUGUCUCCUCCCCUCCAGCCCAAAUGAACUGAAUCUAUCCCGAAUGCUUGAAAAGUGUUCCAACGGAAUAAGGAACACAAAUUACAGUGUUUUGGAACACUGUGAUCAAGUUUAUUUUUUCUUAUGUUAUUAAAGUGUUUCAAAGUUCCUCUCUGGGGCCAUCGAAGGGACAGGAAUAUCCCGAGCGCGCAGCCCACUUCAAAGAUUGCCUACUUUAAGGAUUGCCCAGCGACCUGCUAUACUGACCAGAUUAUACAGAGAGUUGAUGAUAUGAUCGUUUCUUCACUAAACAAGAAUCGUUUUCAUCCCCACCUAUCAUAUUACCAUCUGCAGACUUCAGCAUCCUCCUACUGUGUAUAUCCAAAAGCAACUUCUACAUUGGUGAGAUCCAUCCAUAUACAGUGAACCAUAUAGUGCACUAUAUUUUGGACUGGUAGUUAUCAGGACUAUAUUACUUUUUUACAAUUAUUAUUUUUUCUUAUUUUUUCAUUUUUUUUCAUUUUUUCUAUUUUUUUCAACCCAUUUUUUCUAUUUUUUCAUUCCAUUUUUUCUAGUUUUUGGAUCAUUACCUACUGUAAAUAGAUACAUAGAUUAUGAACUGGAGGUUUUUUUAUGUUCUUGUGAAUUUUUGGUAAAAAAUAGAAAACCGCUACUUUACAAUUGGGAUUGUAGAUGAAUUUAAAUUCAUCUGGAUUAAUUAUUUUAUUCUCCAAACCUAUUGUUAAUAAUGUAUUAAGUUCUACCAAAAAUUCAGGUGUCGGAUUUUUUCCCAAAAUUUUAUAAGCGUUUGCGUCAUUGAGAAUGUUGUAAGCCUCUUGUAGAUAAUAGGAUUUAUUCAUGAUGACGAUUCCUCCCCCUUUAUCUGCCUCUUUAAUGACUAGAUUAUGAUUUUCCAUUAAAGAUUUUAAUGCCAGUUGUUCUUUCUGGGUAAGAUUAGGUCCAAAUUUACUGUCUGCAAUUUUAUUCAGGUCCUCUUGUACUAAAUCAUUAAAUACUUCUAGAAAUUUGCUUUUCGCUGUCCACGGAAAAAAAAAUAGAUUUUGGUUUUAAAGAGGUAUGCAUAAUCAUAGGUUCUGUAAAUGAAACAUCAUUAUCAUUAUUGGUCGUGCAUAUAGGACUAACUGAACUAUGUUCAACAUUAGCUUGGUUUAUUUCUUUAUCCUUAAAAAAUCUUUUUAAGGUUAAUUUUCUUAGAAAUUUUUGAUUAUCUAGAUAAAGAUUGAAAUAAUUACAAUUGGAAGCAGGGGCAAAUUUUAAACCCCUUUUUAAUAAUGACAAUUCCUGUGAUGAAAGAGUAGUAUCUGACAAAUUAAAAAUACCAUCCGAAGAAUUUAAUUCUGUCUGUAUGAAAGGUGAAGUGGAGUAUCCUCCUCCUCCACCUCUAGGUGUGGUCUUUUCUUUAUAGGAGAUUUUUGAGUUUGAAACCUGUGUUGUGUGUUUACUGAAUAUUGAGUUCGAUCUAAUUUUUGGUCUCGUUCCCUGUCUAAAAAAACUUCUUGAUUUCUUUAGAAUACUUAGAAUGAUUGGGAGAUCUUUUUGAUUGAUUACUGUUGGAAAUGGGAGGAUGGGGGUUGGAGUAGUAUACAGAGUUCUCUCCAUGAUUUUUAGUUUUGCUUUUUUCAGGGCAUUUUGUGUCAGCGAGCUGGUCAGAAGUAAUCGCCAAGUGGCCGGGGGGCUUCAGGCGGUGGAUGUGGAAGUGUGGAGUAACAGAGUAGUGAUCAACCUGAGGCAGUCCAAAAUGGAUGUACUGGGAAAAGGAACAUUGGUUACGUUGUGGGAGCUUCCGGGUGGAAAAAUGUGUCCAGUUAGGUGCGCAGUGGCCUUCUAGGAGGUGCGGGCGACGGCCGGGGGGAUCAUACUUUAAGCAUGAGGACGGCUCUUCGCUAUCGAAGUUCCAGUUCAUCAGGGUUUUUCGGAAGGCGUUGGAAAGGUUGGGAGUGGACCCGGGCCAAUUCGGGACUUAUUCCUUUAGGAUUGGUGCAGCUACUGAAGCGGCAAGACUGGGCUUGGGAGAUGAUCAGGUGAAGAAGAUUGGCAGGUGGGAGUCGAUGAGGUUCAGAUCUUACGUCAGGCCAGGCAAGUUGGUAUAAAUCCUAAGGGUGGUUGAUGGGAAAUUUUGGUUUCGCAGUUUGUUUCGUGGUUGUCUAUGUUUGCUUUAUGUCUUACAGGUCGGAUGGCAUGGGUGGUCGGCCACUCAUACAUAUACUGGGCGCAUCGGAGAGCUGCAGUUCGACAUCGUGGUCUACAGCUGGGCUUUCCAAGUUCCGUGGUUCAGCUUCGGUGGUUUGGUUACCGGG